rnacentral:rRNA from 1 species
GAACUGAAGAGUUUGAUCAUGGCUCAGAUUGAACGCUGGCGGCAGGCCUAACACAUGCAAGUCGAGCGGUAGAGAGAAGCUUGCUUCUCUUGAGAGCGGCGGACGGGUGAGUAAUGCCUAGGAAUCUGCCUGGUAGUGGGGGAUAACGUCCGGAAACGGACGCUAAUACCGCAUACGUCCUACGGGAGAAAGCAGGGGACCUUCGGGCCUUGCGCUAUCAGAUGAGCCUAGGUCGGAUUAGCUAGUUGGUGGGGUAAUGGCUCACCAAGGCGACGAUCCGUAACUGGUCUGAGAGGAUGAUCAGUCACACUGGAACUGAGACACGGUCCAGACUCCUACGGGAGGCAGCAGUGGGGAAUAUUGGACAAUGGGCGAAAGCCUGAUCCAGCCAUGCCGCGUGUGUGAAUAAGGUCUUCGGAUUGUAAAGCACUUUAAGUUGGGAGG